ensembl:lncRNA
CCCUCCUCCUUCCCUGCCGCUCAGCCCCUGGUGCCCUCGUCCCGGCUUCCUUUUUCUUCUCUGGGGAGAAAUUCCCUGCCUACCUUGACCGCGUGUCAGACAAACUCCUUGGAGCCUCAACUCAUCCUGCCUCCAAGGGAAGCCCCUGGGGGGCGGAGGAGGGAGAAGCAGAAAGCCCUCUGCCCUGGGAGACCAAGACGCCGAGUGUGAUUCCUGCCUGAAGCAGCCUCUGUGCUUGGCCAUCCUGAGUUCAGCCAGCCCGGAAAGGGUAAUACCCACAUACCUUCUCGCUGCCGACUUUGCUGGGCUGGGGAUGGAGCCGACUUGGGAACCAGACACCCUGGCUCCCUGCCCAGAAGCCGAUGUCGCCAAUGGGGGUGGAGGAGGCUGGGACCAAGGUCUCCCGGAUUCCACCCCCCCUCCCCGCCCAUCUUCCCUCCUGAGCUGCAGGAAAGGGAAAGAGGAGGCUGAUGGAGGCUGCACCAGCCAUGGCCCCGCUGCUAUCCUCCAACGUACUAGUGACCUGGCUCUCCGGCUCCAUCCACCUGUACUGCAGGCCAGCCCCCCCACCCCCAGAGUCCCUGGGGCCCUGCCCACUGCUCCUGCUGUGGCUGGGGGCACAGCCAGCCAGCGGCCCAGGCCAAGUACCUGCAGCUCUGCCUGGCUUGUGGCUUUGAUGUGCUGGCUGUGGAGAGUGCGCUGAGCCACUUUCUGUGCCUGCGCUGGGCCCUGGGACAAGCUGCCCACCUGUUGGCGCUGCUGCGGGGAUCUGGGGCACUGGCCGGCCGCCCACUAAUGGUGCACGUGCUCUCCCUGGGUCGCUACACCUUUGCACAGAUGCUCCUGCUCAUGAGCCAGGACCCGGGAUGCCACAACAGCGUGGCCCAGCGCUUGAGAGGCCAUAUUUUCAACAGCCUGGUGGUGGGCAGCCUGGACUGCAUAGCGCUGGGUGAGUGUGCCAGGGCAAGGGUGGACACACAAACAGAGCUGGACCCCAGGUAGACACGCAGUUCUUUUUUGUUGUUGUUUUGCUUUGUUUGUUUUUUAGGGCUGCACCCGUGGCAUAUGGAGGUUCCUGGGCUAGAGGUCAAAUCACAGCUAUAGCCGCCAGCCUGAGCAACCACAGCAGCACAGGAGCCGAGCUACACCACAGCUCACAGCAACGCUGGAUCCUUAGCUUGCUGAGCGAGGCCAGGGAUGGAACCUGCAUCCUCAUGGAUGCUAGUUGGGUUGGCAACAUGCUGAGCCACGACGGGAAAUCCAGACAUACAGUUCUGAUGACUGAGGGGCCUGUGAUCUGCCUCUGUCCCAAAUGUGGCUCUGGGUUUCUCUGAAAGUCUACCUGCCAUGGCCUUUCUACUGGAGCACUUGUCCUGCUUUCCCACUGGGCCUCCCUCAGUGAGGCUGAAUUGACAACCCAGAGCGAGGUGCUGUCUGGGUCCAGCCUGGUAUUCUUUUAUCUCUGCCUCUUUUCUUCUGAGCGACGGGAGGACAAAAGCGACGUGCUAAGACUAAUUUACUGAGUGUCCAUAACUUUCUUACGCAGUCCCCAGAGUGAGGCCAUGGGGUGGGUGCUGUGCCUUCUACAAUUCUCUUCUUAGGACACAUGCUUUGGAAAGAGUCUUAGAAAUCAUGUACAGUUGACCCUUGAACAACACAGAUUUGAACUGCAAGGACCCACUUAUAUAGGGAUUUCUUUCUUUUUUUAUGUCUUUUUAGGACCACACCUGUGGCACAUGAAGGUUCCCAGGCUAGGGGUCUAAUCGGAGCUGUAGCUGCCGGCCUACACCACUGCUCACCAGAUCCGAGCCACAUCUGCAACCCAUACCACAGCUCACGGCAACGCCGGAUCCUUAACCCACUGAGCAAGGCCAGGGAUCGAACCCUCAACCUCAUGGUUCCUCGUCGGAUUCGUUAACCACUGAGCCACGGCGGGAACUCCUAGGGAGUUUUUUCAAUAAAGACAUAUGACG